rnacentral:ribozyme from 12 species
UUUUUUUUUUUUUUUUUUUUUUUUUUUUUUUUUGAAAAU